rnacentral:lncRNA from 1 species
UUUCAUCUUCCUGUACCAUUUUCCUCUCUUCUCUGAAAGCCCUGAGCCAGCGUAUUUUUUCCUCCAGCUUCUUGGCAAAGAACAGAUGUAUCUCCUCAGUCUCCUUGUUGUGAAGCUUAAAGGCAUUCUUCAUGCUGACAUUGAAGUCAUCAUCUCUGCCAUCCUCAAUGUCAACUACCUCAUAUUUAUCCAUGUCAAUGCGGCCUUUGUAGUACAGGAUGUCUCUCCGGAUUAGGUCCUA